UUCAUGCUGAAACUUGAUGAGUACACACCAGGUCUUUUGCAGCUUAUGCGUGCCAAAAGAGGAGCUGCUGGUUCCAAGUUGAGACCUCUGCUGGACACUUUGAAUGACACACAGAGCAUUGAGAAGAAAAGGGAUGUUGUUAUCUGCUGCCUCAUUAGCUACCUCGGGGAAAGACAAGAAGAUCUUUUUCAUGACUGCCAGGAAUGUGAGGAUUACACAGACAAUAUGAUGAAGCUGAUCGUGAUCCACAACAUCAUGGCUGAGGAGGAUCCAUCAGAUGUGUUCAUUGUGAUUGAGGGAAACCAAGUGAUGGAGGGAUGUGGAAGCCAAACAAAGGCAUGUGUACUACUGAUGGGACUGAUAUAUGUCCUCAACCUCGAAUAUCCGAAGGAGCUGAAGAACACAUUUGACACUUUUCAAAAACUAUUUUUGGAACUUGACGGGGCGAAACUACUGAACAAGGUCCACGGCCUCAAAAAUAAGCUUAUGCAAUGCACACACAUUUCCCCUCUUGUUCCCAGAGGAUCUUUUGUCCAGACAUAGCUUGAUGGAGCUGUAAUUUUUCUU